rnacentral:misc_RNA from 1 species
GAGGAUGUUGUGAUACAUGAGAAUGGAUCAUCUGUUGAAAAACUACGAAAUAAGGUAAUCGUAGAAUAUUGUAAUAUAAUUGAGCAGAGUUUUUGGGAAGCACACCCAGGCAUCCUUGAUUAGAGGCCCCAGACACCAGCAACAACGUUUUUUUUUCGGCCUCAUUUGGCUUAAAAGGGGAUAGAAGAAAUGUAUUUGACAAC